UACGAACCGUCCAAACGUUAUUCGGAAUCAUUGGGCUUAAAGGGUACGUAGGCCGUGUCGUAAGUCGGGUGUGAAAUCCCUCGGCUCAACCGAGGAACUGCGCCCGAUACUGCGGUGCUUGAGGGAGACAGGGGUGAGCGGAACUGAUGGUGGAGCGGUGAAAUGCGUUGAUAUCAUCAGGAACACCAGUGGCGAAAGCGGCUCGCUGGGUCUCUUCUGACGCUGAGGUACGAAAGCUAGGGUAGCGAACGGG
rnacentral:rRNA from 1 species